rnacentral:rRNA from 1 species
AUGACACAGGGCGACAUCAGCUUCUGGUUAACCACAGUGUAUGGGCCAACUGAUGAUGCAAGGAAUGACGAUUUCCUGACAGAGAUGAUUCAUGCAGCCCCGCCAGCGGGAGAGCCAUGGCUGAUCAACGGCGACUUCAACGUCAUCUACGAGGCCAGGGACAAGAAUAACCUGAACUUGAAUCGAAGGCUGAUGGGUAGAUUCAGAGUGGCACUCGACAUAGCGCACCUCAGAGAAAUCAAAUGCAAGAACCGGAGAUUUACCUGGACUAGCGAGUGUCAGGAUCCCACCAUGGUCAGCAUCGACAAGGUCUUCUGCAACACCGAGUGGGAGGCCAUGUUUCCAGCACAUAUGCUUCUAGCUGCCUCAACUACAUGCUCCGAUCACUGCCCCCUUGUCUUGGCCAGCUCCACUGCACCGCGCAAAAGGCCGACUUUCAAGCUUGAAUCUUUCUGGCCCAGAUUCCCGCGUUUCCAGGAAACAGUUCAACGAGCCUGGCAGUGGCCUGUGAACCAUGAUUGCCCGAUCGCACGGCUCAAGGUCAAGUUGAGAAGAACUGCUGCGGACCUGAAAAUUUGGGCUCGCACUCUUUUCAGCGACGCAAAAAAUCAGUUCCACCUGGCGUGCGAGGUAAUCUUGCGGCUUGAGGUGGCGCAAGAGCGGAGAAGACUGUCAGAUGCAGAAUUUCAGCUGCGCCGGCAACUGAAGCAAAGGCUGCUCAGAUUAGCAGCGAUUGAGCGUGCCAGAAAGAGACAGGCGUCCAGAAUCACAUGGCUGCGAGCGGGUGAUGCAAAGACUGCUUUCUUUCAGGCUAAGAUCAACUCCAGGAGGCGAAAAAAUCACAUCUACUCGCUGCAGACUGAUACUGGAACUGCCCUCGACCAUGAAGCAAAAGCAGCAACCACACACCAGCAUUUCAGCAACCUGCUAGGCUCCAGAAUCAGUAGAGUCAACACAAUAAACUGGGAAGAGCUGCAUCUCCCCUCUGUCAGCAACGAGGGACUUGAUAACCCAUUCACUGAGGCCGAGGUUUGGGCAGUGAUUGUGGCUUCACCGGCAGAUAAAGCACAGGGUCCUGACGACUUCUCGGGGAUGUUCUUCAGAUCUUGCUGGAGCCUGAUCAAAAAUGAUAUAAUGGCCGUGUUCCACCCCUUCUAUCACGUUGCAGACGGCAGUUUCGCAGACCUAAACACGGCCAUGAUCGCCCUCAUCCCAAAGAAAGACGGCACCGCCAGCAUGGGGGAUUUCCGGCCUAUAAGUCUAGUUCACUCCAUUGGCAAACUGAUCUCUAAAGUGUUGUCCAUGCGGCUAGCCACUGUAAUCAGCAAGAUCAUCUCGCUGGCGCAGACGGCAUUCCAGAAGAACAAAUGCAUUCAUGAUAGUUACCUCUAUGUCCAAAACACCAUUAGAGCGCUGCACCAUGCCAAAACCCCAGCACUGCUGUUGAAGAUUGACAUUGCGAGAGCUUUCGAUAGUGUCUCCUGGGAGUACAUUAUUGAACUCAUGUGCAAACUGGGAUUCCCCGCACGCUGGCGCGACUGGAUCACCCUGCUGCUCUCGUCCUCGUCAUCGUCGUGCCCGAUCAACGGCAUCCCCGGCAACCGCAUCGACCAUCUUAGGGGGCUACGGCAGGGGGACCCUCUGUCCCCGUUGCUCUUCAUCCUCUACAUCGACCCGCUACAUCGGCUCCUGGAGGCAGCCACGCGCUCCGGUGCCCUCUCGCCAAUCCCUGGCUCAGCAGCAAGGAUGCGGACAAGCCUCUACACUGACGACGCUGUCAUCUUCGCCAACCCUAGUCGACUGGAGGUGGAUAGUCUGUUACAAAUUCUAGCUAGCUUCGGUGACGCCACCGGUCUGCGCGUCAACCUUGCCAAAUCCUCCGCAGUACCCAUUAGCUGCCACGAAAUUGACCUCAAUCAUGUUCUGCAUGGCUUCGGGGGUGCAACAGUCUCCUUUCCAGUCAAGUAUCUAGGUCUCCCUCUGACCACCGGUAGAACUAGGCUAGUUCACCUGCAGUUCAUCUUAGACCGGAUCAGAGCUAGGCUCGCCGGAUGGAAAGGCCGGCUUCUCCCGCUGGCGGGGCGCAGAGUCCUCGUCAAGUGCGUCCUUUCAGCCAUGCCAACAUUCGCCCUCUCAGUGAUGCGCGUGCCAAAGAAAUUCUUCAAAGAGAUAGACAAGGUCAGGGGACGCUUCCUGUGGGCGCACGACCAGGAGAUCAGCGGCGGCAAGUGCAAGGUGGCAUGGAGGGCGGUGACCAUGCCGGAGGCCAGAGGAGGCUUGGGCAUCCACGAUCUCUCGGCAUUCGCCAGAGCUCUGCGACUUCGCUGGCUUUGGCUGUGCUGGGCAGACCCAUCCAGGCCCUGGGUUGGCACUGGCACCCCGUGUGAUGACGCAGACCGUGCCCUUUUUGCCGCGUCUACGGUGGUGACCAUCGGCGAUGGACGGACUGCCUCCUUCUGGUUCUGCCCAUGGCUUGAUGGCAGGAUUCUACGGCAGGAAUACCCUGAGGUUUUUGCAUGGUCCAGGCGCAAGAACAGAUCAGUUUGCGACGCACUUCAUGAAGACAGAUGGCUCCAUGAUCUCAGACAUGGUAGCUUCGAAGGCAUCCUGCCACAAAUCGUGCAGAUGGCCCGAGUCAUUAGGCAGGCUCAGAUCACCAUCCAGGCAGGCACAGCCGACAGCAUCAGAUGGACGCGGGGCGGCUCUGGACAGUUCACCGUCAAGACGGCCUAUAAUGCCCAGUUUGAAAGUACAAGGCCCAGCGAAUUCCGGGAGAUAAUCUGGAAGAUCUGGGCUCCGGGCAAGAUCAAAAUGUUCCUCUGGUUGCUGCACUUGGACCGUCUAUGGUGCAAUGACAGACUGCAAAGGAGAGGAUGGGAGAACAGCUACUUCUGCCAUCUCUGUACGCGAAACCUAGAAACCUCGGUGCAUCUUUUCUGGGAGUGCCCGGUCUCACUCAGGGUUUGGAGCACUGCAGCAAGGUGGAGAGGGUGUGGCGCCCUAGAUCACACAUCUUGGCCCCCAGCCAACUCCACCACGGCGACAAUCCAGAGUAUCAUCAGCUCCACCACCCCCGAAAGCAGAAAAGGCAUCAAGUCCAUGUUAGUUCUGGUCGUCUGGCACAUUUGGCUCGAGCGAAAUGGCUGCGUCUUCAGACGCAAGCAGGCGUGCGUGAAAAACAUCAUUGACGGCUGCAGAAGAGACCUGGAGCAAUGGAGGCUUGCUGGUGCAAGAUGUGUGAAGAGCCCAUUCGGGGAAGAACCGUGA